AUACGGAGGGUGCAAGCGUUACUCGGAAUCACUGGGCGUAAAGCGCGCGCAGGCGGUCUUUUAAGAUGGAUGUGAAAGCAUACGGCUCAACCGUAGAACUGCAUCCAAAACUAUUAGACUAGAGUGUGGGAGAGGAAGAUGGAAUUAGUUGUGUAGGGGUAAAAUCCGUAGAGAUAACUAGGAAUACCAAAAGCGAAGGCAAUCUUCUGGAACACUACUGACGCUGAGGCGCGAAAGCGUGGGGAGCAAACAGGAUUAGAAACCCUAGUAGUCC
rnacentral:rRNA from 1 species